AGAGUUUGAUCAUGGCUCAGGAUGAACGCUAGCGGCAGGCUUAAUACAUGCAAGUCGUGGGGCAGCAUGGGGUAGCAAUACUCUGAUGGCGACCGGCAAACGGGUGCGGAACACGUACGCAACCUUCCUUUAACUGGAGAAUAGCCCCUCGAAAGAGGGAUUAAUACUCCGUAACAUGAUGAUAAGGCAUCUUAUUAUUAUUAUAGCUCCGGCGGUUAGAGAUGGGCGUGCGCCUGAUUAGGUAGUUGGCGGGGUAACGGCCCACCAAGCCUGCGAUCAGUAACUGGUGUGAGAGCACGACCAGUCACACGGGCACUGAGACACGGGCCCGACUCCUACGGGAGGCAGCAGUAAGGAAUAUUGGUCAAUGGACGCAAGUCUGAACCAGCCAUGCCGCGUGGAGGAUUAAGGCCCUCUGGGUUGUAAACUCCUUUUAUCUGGGAAGAAAUCCAUAUAUUCUUAUAUGGUUGACGGUACCAGAGGAAUAAGCACCGGCUAACUCCGUGCCAGCAGCCGCGGUAAUACGGAGGGUGCAAGCGUUAUCCGGAUUCACUGGGUUUAAAGGGUGCGUAGGCGGGUAAGUAAGUCCGUGGUGAAAUCUCUGAGCUUAACUCAGAAACUGCCGUGGAUACUAUUUGCCUUGAAUAUUGUGGAGGUGAGCGGAAUAUGUCAUGUAGCGGUGAAAUGCUUAGAUAUGACAUAGAACACCAAUUGCGAAGGCAGCUCACUACACAAUCAUUGACGCUGAGGCACGAAAGCGUGGGGAUCAAACAGGAUUAGAUACCCUAGUAGUCC
rnacentral:rRNA from 1 species